rnacentral:rRNA from 1 species
AGUGGCAGACGGGUGCGUAACACGUGGGAAAAACCUUUUGGUUCGGAAUAACUUGGGGAAACUUAAGCUAAUACCGGAUAAGCCCUUCGGGGGAAAGAUUUACUGCCGAAAGAUUGGCCCGCGUCUGAUUAGCUAGUUGGUGAGGUAAUGGCUCACCAAGGCGACGAUCAGUAGCUGGUCUGAGAGGAUGAUCAGCCACACUGGGACUGAGAAACGGCCCAGACUCCUACGGGAGGCAGCAGUGGGGAAUAUUGGACAAUGGGCGCAAGCCUGAUCCAGCCAUGCCGCGUGAGUGAUGACGGCCUUAGGGUUGUAAAGCUCUUUUACCUGGGAAGAUAAUGACUGUACCAGGAGAAUAAGCCCCGGCUAACUUCGUGCCAGCAGCCGCGGUAAUACGAAGGGGGCUAGCGUUGUUCGGAAUCACUGGGCGUAAAGCGCACGUAGGCGGACUUUUAAGUCAGGGGUGAAAUCCUGAGGCUCAACCUCAGAACUGCCUUUAA